rnacentral:tRNA from 1 species
GCCGGGAUCGCCUAGUGGUAUGGCGUCGGCUUGCUAAGCCGAUGACCCUUCGGGUCACGAGGGUUCAAAUCCCUCUCCCGGCGCCA